rnacentral:lncRNA from 1 species
CGGAACUGAGCACCCCGGACCCCUCCCUGCUCUCCCGUCCCCCCCGGACCUCAGCUUCCUCACUGGUAACAGGAGCAGUUGACAACGCUCCUUCCAGGCUGGCCUCUCCGGGCCUAGGGGAGGACUGUAAAGCAGGGACCAGGGGGCCAGGGAGCCGGAGCCCUGGGUCCCAGGCUGGGCUGCCUCAGACUGGCUGUGCGACCCUGGGCAGCCUGCUUGCUCUCUCUGAUUCACAGAGGGGAACUGGGUGCCAUUCCUGGAACAGAAGCGUAAGGACCACAUUUCUGAACUACUCCAAGGAAGCACAGUGGAGGGAGGCUGCCAGCUUCCCCUGCCUUACUUCACCCCUACGCAGGUGGGCUUCGGGGAGCCUCUCCUGGCCUUGAAUCAGAACUCCAGGAAGGAGCCAG